rnacentral:ribozyme from 1 species
CACAUGAUGAAGAGCAAAAGACAAAGGAGAAAUGAACAAAGGUAAGGGAAAAAGGACGCACGCUUUGUUCAUUUUCCUUUGGUCUUUUCUCUCUUCAUCACUUGACAUCUAAGUUCUGGUUCUUUUUCUUCUCUCCUUUCUUUCUUUUAAUU